rnacentral:rRNA from 1 species
AAAACGACUCUCGGCAACGGAUAUCUCGGCUCUCGCAUCGAUGAAGAACGUAGCGAAAUGCGAUACUUGGUGUGAAUUGCGAAUCCCGUGAACCAUCGAGUCUUUGAACGCAAGUUGCGCCCCAAGCCUUCUGGCCGAGGGCACGUCUGCCUGGGUGUCACAA